rnacentral:rRNA from 1 species
GACGAACGCUGGCGGCGUGCUUAACACAUGCAAGUCGAACGGUAAGGCCCUUCGGGGUACACGAGUGGCGAACGGGUGAGUAACACGUGGGUGAUCUGCCCUGCACUUCGGGAUAAGCCUGGGAAACUGGGUCUAAUACCGGAUAGGACUCCUGGCUUCAUGGUUGGGGGUGGAAAGCUUUUGCGGUGUGGGAUGGGCCCGCGGCCUAUCAGCUUGUUGGUGGGGUAAUGGCCUACCAAGGCGACGACGGGUAGCCGGCCUGAGAGGGUGACCGGUCACACUGGGACUGAGAUACGGCCCAGACUCCUACGGGAGGCAGCAGUGGGGAAUAUUGCACAAUGGGCGCAAGCCUGAUGCAGCGACGCCGUGUGAGGGAUGACGGCCUUCGGGUUGUAAACCUCUUUCAGCUAUGACGAAGCGCAAGUGACGGUAGUAGCAGAAGAAGGACCGGCCAACUACGUGCCAGCAGCCGCCUAA